CACGUAGUUAGCCGGGGCUUCUUAGUCAGGUACCGUCAUUUUCUUCCCUGCUGAUAGAGCUUUACAUCACGAAUGACUUCUUCACUCACGCGGCGUUGCUGCAUCAGGGUUUCCCCCAUUGUGCAAUAUUCCCCACUGCUGCCUCCCGUAGGAGUUUGGGCCGUGUCUCAGUCCCAAUGUGGCCGUUCACCCUCUCAGGCCGGCUACUGAUCGUCGCCUUGGUGAGCCGUUACCUCGCCAACCAGCUAAUCAGACGCGGGUCCAUCUUACACCACCGGAGUUUUUCACACCGAACCAUGCGGUUCUGUGCGCUUAUGCGGUAUUAGCACCUAUUUCUAAGUGUUAUCCCCCAGUGCAAGGCAGGUUACCCACGCGUUACUCACCCGUCCGCCACUAGAAUAGGAAUCACUAGGUUUCAUCCUAUUCCCGUUCGACUUGCAUGUGUUAGGCACGCCGCCAGCGUUCAUCCUGAGCCAGGAUCAAACUCU
rnacentral:rRNA from 1 species